rnacentral:lncRNA from 12 species
UGGACGUGUCUUCAAGCCACCACAGCCAGCCGGGACUGGAAACAGCUGAGCGUGGCCAGCCUGUGUCCGCUGGGGCUUCGUGGAGGCUUCCAGCAAGGGGGUACAGCCGAGCUGCUCCGGAAGAAGGCAGGGGCCCACAGGGGUGUGGGUGAGGGCACGUCGCCAGCUGGGCCAGAGCACACGAGUGCCUGGGAAGCCCCCCGAGGCCAGGCUCACCGGGACGCCCCUGCUGCCGGACGGACGAAGAUUCUCAGGAACACAGAUGGGGUGAGAGAGGCCUGCCUGCCACCCUCCACCUGGCCCCCCGGCCCCGUGAGGGGUACACCCCGGGGGGACGCCUGGCUCCCAGCCAGCCCCUCAUGCUUCCCGCCACGUGGCAUAGAAGUCAGGCUCCCAAGGGGGCUGAGGACAGAGACUCCGAAGGACAGGACCGUCUCUCAGGAGGACAGAGCCCGAAGCUGCAGGUGCGGGGGAGAAGGGGACAAAGGAGGGACUGUCCACGGGCAGCUGCCCGGGAAGACGCUGCCUGGCUGGGCGGCCGUGACAGGCGGAGAAGCCGGGGGGAAGGAGGGACACAGAGGUCGCACAAGGCCCUCCCCGCUGCGAGAGGUUCUGGAACAGGGGGACUCCGGGCCCAGGACUCCUGCAGGACGGCAGGGCUCCGGGACGCCCGACGCCGAGGGUAUCUGUAGCUUCCCGGCCUGUCCUGCACCUGCGCUCCGGGGCCCGGCCUGCCGCGUCCGUGACCGGCCAACCCGCCUGUGGGCUCAGAGCAGGUCAUCCCGCCCCCUGCCGCGGCCUCCCGUGGUGCCAACCCCAGCUCACCCGCCACCCAGCCCAGCGCCCUCGUGGGGACACACUGCCCUCCUCCGGCCACUGCCCUCGGGUGCCUGCUCACACGGCCCUCUGGCCUGGGACAACGGUCUGCUCACCGGCCCCGGGACAGCGUGCCACCCCAGGGAGGCCAGCCCGGGCCAGCCCACGCAGUGCCGGGUCUGCACACCUGCUGGGUGCCUCCGGCCCUCUGUCCUGCGGGAGGCACCACCCCUCGGGCCUCCAGGCCCUCCAGCACCCUCGGGCCUCCAGGCCCCGGCACCCUCGGGCAGGCCCCUGCAGGCUCUAUUUUUACACUUGAAGCAUUUGCAGGGCGUCUAUUUAUAUCGUUCCCAUCUUGAGUUUCCGGUCAGGUCAUCUCCUAACCUGGCCGAGCCUCCCUCCCUCUGGGCUCAGGUCUCUGGACCACUCCCAGGCCAAGGGGGGGGGGGUGCCCCGUGCAGGAGAAGCCCGCAGCUCACCGAGAGGUGCCCCAGGACACCGCCAGUGUUCCCGAAGCGCGAUGGAGAUGGUCCAGGGGCCCAGAGCGGGCACGAGGGCCCAGGCCGGCUCCAGAGUGGGCAGCCCGGGCAUUUCCAGUAA